rnacentral:rRNA from 1 species
CUACGGGAGGCUGCAGUGGGGAAUAUUGCACAAUGGGCGCAAGCCUGAUGCAGCCAUGCCGCGUGUAUGAAGAAGGCCUUCGGGUUGUAAAGUACUUUCAGCGGGGAGGAAGGGAGUAAAGUUAAUACCUUUGCUCAUUGACGUUACCCGCAGAAGAAGCACCGGCUAACUCCGGUGCUAGCAGCCGCGGUAAUACGGAGGGUGCAAGCGUUAAUCGGAAUUACUGGGCGUAAAGCGCACGCAGGCGGUUUGUUAAGUCAGAUGUGAAAUCCCCGGGCUCAACCUGGGAACUGCAUCUGAUACUGGCAAGCUUGAGUCUCGUAGAGGGGGGUAGAAUUCCAGGUGUAGCGGUGAAAUGCGUAGAGAUCUGGAGGAAUACCGGUGGCGAAGGCGGCCCCCUGGACGAAGACUGACGCUCAGGUGCGAAGGCGUGGGGAGCAAACAGGAUUAGAUACCCCUGUAGUC